CUUUUUAUAGUGUAAAAAACAUAUUACAUUUUCAUUGUAAAGCUGAAGAUUCCUUCUAAAAAAU
rnacentral:tRNA from 1 species